AAAUCAGUUAUCGUUUAUUUGAUAGUACCUUACUACUUGGAUAACCGUGGUAAUUCUAGAGCUAAUACAUGCUAAAAACCUCGACUUCGGAAGGGGUGUAUUUAUUAGAUAAAAAACCAAUGCCCUUCGGGGCUCCUUGGUGAUUCAUAAUAACUUAACGAAUCGCAUGGCCUUGUGCCGGCGAUGGUUCAUUCAAAUUUCUGCCCUAUCAACUUUCGAUGGUAGGAUAGUGGCCUACCAUGGUUUCAACGGGUAACGGGGAAUUAGGGUUCUAUUCCGGAGAGGGAGCCUGAGAAACGGCUACCACAUCCAAGGAAGGCAGCAGGCGCGCAAAUUACCCAAUCCCGACACGGGGAGGUAGUGACAAUAAAUACUGAUACAGGGCUCUUUUGGGUCUUGUAAUUGGAAUGAGUACAAUUUAAAUCCCUUAACGAGGAACAAUUGGAGGGCAAGUCUGGUGCCAGCAGCCGCGGUAAUUCCAGCUCCAAUAGCGUAUAUUAAAGUUGUUGCAGUUAAAAAGCUCGUAGUUGAACCUUGGGCCUGGCUGGCCGGUCCGCCUCACCGCGUGCACUGGUCCGGCCGGGUCUUUCCUUCUGGGGAGCCGCAUGCCCUUCACUGGGUGUGUCGGGGAACCAGGACUUUUACUUUGAAAAAAUUAGAGUGUUCAAAGCAGGCCUAUGCUCGAAUACAUUAGCAUGGAAUAAUAGAAUAGGACGUGUGGUUCUAUUUUGUUGGUUUCUAGGACCGCCGUAAUGAUUAAUAGGGAUAGUCGGGGGCAUCAGUAUUCAAUUGUCAGAGGUGAAAUUCUUGGAUUUAUUGAAGACUAACUACUGCGAAAGCAUUUGCCAAGGAUGUUUUCAUUAAUCAGUGAACGAAAGUUAGGGGAUCGAAGACGAUCAGAUACCGUCGUAGUCUUAACCAUAAACUAUGCCGACUAGGGAUCGGGCGAUGUUAUCUUUUUGACUCGCUC
rnacentral:rRNA from 1 species